rnacentral:rRNA from 1 species
GACGAACGCUGGCGGUGUGCUUAACACAUGCAAGUCGAACGGUAAGGCCCUUUCGGGGGUCCACGAGUGGCGAACGGGUGAGUAACACGUGAGUAACCUGCCCUCAUCUCUGGGAUAACAGUCGGAAACGGUUGCUAAUACUGGAUAUGAGCUUGCAAGGCAUCUUGUGGGUUGGAAAGAUUUUUUUUGGUUGGGGAUGGACUCGCGGCCUAUCAGCUUGUUGGUGAGGUAGUGGCUCACCAAGGCUUCGACGGGUAGCCGGCCUGAGAGGGCGACCGGCCACAUUGGGACUGAGAUACGGCCCAAACUCCUACGGGAGGCAGCAGUGGGGAAUAUUGCACAAUGGACGGAAGUCUGAUGCAGCAACGCCGCGUGCGGGAUGACGGCCUUCGGGUUGUAAACCGCUUUCAAUUGUGACGAAGCUUUUUUGUGACGGUAGCAGUAGAAGAAGCACCGGCUAACUACGUG